ensembl:lncRNA
GUAACUUCCACUUUCCUCUUGACCAAUUUAAAAGUUUCUUUGGACUCUGAUAUGUCUUAGGAAUUGAGUGACUAUAAUUAGAUACUAUAUAGACACAUCUACAAAUGUUAUAUGCAUGUGGGUACAAGAGUAAUUUUCUGUUUUCUAACUUCCUUCAUUUAUUAUUAUUACUGCCAUUUUUUCAUACAUCCGAUAGUUACUAGGUGCCUGUUAAGUACUAUGUACCUUCCUAGGUGCUGAGAAUGCAGUGGUAAAUAAAAUGGACACUGCUUUAAUGAAACCUUUAGGGUAUGCAUUGGGAGGACAGAAGGCAAAGAAUCUAGAUUAAACAGACAUACAAAUAGAUAUAUAAUUAUAAACUGAGACAACUGGUAUGAAGACAAAUGCAGGGUACUGUAACAGUGUAGAAAUGAGGGCUUUGGUCUAAUCUAGAAGCUUUGGGAAAUAGUUCCCUGAGGAAAUGACAUUUGACUUUAGAUCUGAAGGAUUAGUAGAAAGAGGUGAAGAAGAGAAUGAGGGAAGAAAUUUCAAGUCAGAGUAAAGGGUAUGUGCAAAGGUCCUGAGGUGGAAGGAACCAGGGCAGGAGGGUCAAUGAGGUUAAAACACAGAGAAUGAGGUUGUAUGGGAUGGGCUGGAGAAUUAACCAGAGGGCAGAUAAUGCAGGGAAGGUCAUGAUGGUUGGACUAGGCCUUUUUGAAGCCCUCUCUUUCCUUCUAGGCCUAUCUUUGGAGAAUGUAGUCAGGCCAGCCUAUCUUUGGAGAAUAUGCUCUGGUGUAGUGACAUCUAUCGGCAAGGCUAGGCAGGAAAGAAAAUGACCAGAUGCCCACUCAUCUCCAGGUAAUUUCCAGACUAGUAAGAAAAUCAUCCUUCACCCCUGAGAUUGGGUUGGAUCAGUAACCUCAGUUGGUUACAGCAAGACUAAGUAGUCCAAGGUUGUGAGUCUGGACCAUGUAUGUGCUGACUU